GUGCUCACUUCGGCAGCACAUAUACUAACAUUCCAACAAUAUGAAGAAGAUUAGCAUAGCUCCUGCACAAGACAUGCACAUUUGUGAAGCAGUCCUUAUUUUU
ensembl:snRNA U6 U6 spliceosomal RNA